rfam:Felis catus isolate Cinnamon breed Abyssinian chromosome B4, whole genome shotgun sequence.
GUAAAUAUAGUUUAAUAAAAACAUUAGAUUGUGAAUCUAAUAAUGGAAGUGCAAGUCUUCUUAUUUACC